GAAAAAUCUCUCUAGAACUUCUGCAUUAUUAGAAAUCUUCUCCAAGACUUUUACUUUAAAAAUGGUCAAAAUGUAUCUAAGAAACAGCCUGUUGCUCUAUUAACUUCUUUAAUGAAGUAUUACUUUCGAUGUCUGUCAAAUAUAGUCACAUGGAAAUCACCGAACAAAAAUUUGAGAUGUUAAAAGAAUAAAACUCUCCAGGGAAUAAAUUAUUUUUACAACAGGCCUAUAUAAAAUAAUACAGUACAAGUCUCUUAAAGUAGUGAAUAAUAAAGGAAUAAAACUGCUCAAAGAGUUUAUCUUUCUUUCUCUGAAGCUAACUGUGUAACAGCACUCAGCGGCAUUUAAUCUCCAAGGGCCUCAGGAAAGACACGAACGUGAAGGUAGCUUAGAAUCAAUAAUAGGGAACUUUCCUGAGGCCUGCACUGCCUGCUGCUGGUUGCCAACAGCCAUGUUGCAGUAGCACACUUGCCCAUUCUGCACCACCACCAUUUGCCAUCCUGAGCCUUUUUCAAAAUCUGGUGGUAAGCUGAUAAUUCUCAGGGCAUCCCUGUGAAAUGGAGAAGCGUGAUUCUUCCAGUGGGACAUGUGGUGAAGUCGUGCCAGCUAACACAGUGAGAGCUGCCAAGGGGUAAGGCGUGCUCUCAGGGAGGAGGGUUCUGAGAACAGCAAGGAUACGGCAGUAGUCUGAAAAGAUCUCAUGAACGUUAAACCCCUUGGUAUCAUCGUCCGUGGACUCAGUCCAAUAACUGUGUGUCUGUAUGACUCCUUUUUGUUCUGCAGCUUUGAAGUCUAAUCCUAAUUCCUUAAGGAAGAAAGGCUUGUAAAAUGCCUGCAUUUCACAGAGACAGGGGAUGUUACCUUUCAUACAAAAUUUUGCUGUCAGCCCUGCAUUAUAUUUACGAGUCACCCUUGCUCAUACUCUGGACAUAGACAUACUGACAGAGCAGGGGGUGCUGGCAGAUGUAUUUCCUUGGGAUGAACGCUGAUACAGUUUCUCAGUGUCAACCAGAAAGGCCAUUUAUAGCUAAUAAAAGAACAACCAUGUGGACAUUAACACAUGCACACAUAAAAAGUCCAUGAGUAUUCGCUUACUUUUACAAAUGAGUUUGCUCCGGCUGCCGUCACACCCUCCAUGUGUUUGCUUUGCGCAAACAUUCGAGCAGGCAGGCUUUACUCUAGUGAAGGCAAAAGGCCCACUUUGGAGUCACAUGCUCCUAUUCUCUUCGAUAGUGAACUAUCAGCUCAUGCAUGUAUUUACUCUGCAAGUGGUAAGUGCUGUGAGAUGUGGCUUUGCAC
ensembl:lncRNA